rnacentral:tRNA from 1 species
GCCGGAGUGGCGAAAUUGGCAUACGCAGCAGACUCAAAAUCUGCCGGUACCUAGUACCGUGGGGGUUCAAGUCCCCCCUCCGGCA